GCCAGACGCAGUGGUGUGUCCCUGUAGUCCCAGGUACUAGGGAGGCUGAAGUGGGAGGAUCGCUUGAGCCCAGGAGUUCUGGGCUGUAGUGCGCUAUGCCAAUCGGAUGUCCAGUCAAUAUGGUGACCUCCUGGGAGCAGGGGACCACCAGGUUGCCGAAGGAGGGGUGAACCGGCCCAGUUCAAAAGCGGAGCAUGUCAGAACUCCCGUGCUGAUCAGUAGUGGGUUCUCGCUUGUCAGUAGCCACUGUACUCCAGCCUGGGCAACAUAGUGAGACCCCAUGUCU
rnacentral:SRP_RNA from 1 species